UACGUAGGGUGCGAGCGUUGUCCGGAAUUAUUGGGCGUAAAGGGCUCGUAGGCGGUUUGUCGCGUCGGGAGUGAAACUCAGGGCUUAACCCUGAGCCUGCUCCCGAUACGGGCAGACUAGAGGUAUGCAGGGGAGAACGGAAUUCCUGGUGUAGCGGUGAAAUGCGCAGAUAUCGGGAGGAACACCGGUGGCGAAGGCGGUGGUCUGGGCCGGCACUGACGCUGAGGAGCGAAAGCGAUGGGGAGCGAACGGAGGA
rnacentral:rRNA from 1 species